rnacentral:rRNA from 1 species
GACGAACGCUGGCGGCGUGCCUAACACAUGCAAGUCGAACGAAGUGGCGAACGGGUGAGUAACGCAUAAUCAACCUGCUCUUCAGCGGGGGACAACAGUUGGAAACGACUGCUAAUACCGCAUACUGAAGGUGGGGAUUGGGUCUGAUUAGCUGGUUGGGGGGGUAACGGCCCACCAAGGCGAGGAGCAUUAAGCGGGCUGGGAGGGUUGACGGCCAAAAUGGGACUGGGACACGGCCCAGCAGCCCUCGGGAGGCAGCAGUGGGGGAACUUCCGAAAUGGGCGGAAGGCUGGAGGAGCAACGCCGCGUGAGUGAUAGAGGGCUUCGGGUUGUAAAGCUCUGUUAAUCGGGACGCGGUACCGGAAUAGAAAGCCACGGCUAACUACGUGCCAGCAGCCGCGGUAAUAC